UGGUAUAAAGGAUGAUCCGCCUAAUAAUUUACUUUUAUUAUAUUGGUGUAUAUCUGGUUUAAUAUUAUUGCUGAAUGGCAGAAGUUGUGUAGUGUUAUUUAAGCCAAGUCUAUGUGCUGUUUAUAAAAGUAUUCAUGCGUUACAUUAAUAAGUAUUUAAUUGUAAUAUUAGAUGAUUUAGGACUUAAAAGUAAUGUUCAAUUAAUUAGUAAAUGUGAAAUAA
rnacentral:rRNA from 1 species